GACGAACGCUGGCGGCGUGCCUAAUACAUGCCAGUUGAGCGAUGAAGCUUGGUGCUUGCACCAAUUUGAAGAGCAGCGCACGGGUGAGUAACGCGUGGGGAAUCUGCCUUUGAGCGGGGGACAACAUUUGGAAACGAAUGCUAAUACCGCAUAACAACUUUAAACAUAAGUUUUAAGUUUGAAAGAUGCAAUUGCAUCACUCAAAGAUGAUCCCGCGUUGUAUUAGCUAGUUGGUGAGGUAAAGGCUCACCAAGGCGAUGAUACAUAGCCGACCUGAGAGGGUGAUCGGCCACAUUGGGACUGAGACACGGCCCAAACUCCUACGGGAGGCAGCAGUAGGGAAUCUUCGGCAAUGGACGAAAGUCUGACCGAGAAACGCCGCGUGAGGGAAGAAGGUUUUCGGAUCGUAAAACUCUGUUGGUAGAGAAGAACGUUGGUGAGAGUGGAAAGCUCAUCAAGUGACGGUAACUACCCAGAAAGGGACGGCUAACUACGUG
rnacentral:rRNA from 1 species